GACUGCUGACGAAGGUCUCUAAUCAGUUUUGAUAUGGUAUCAUUGAUAGUAUGCAAAUUUUAAAUUUUAGCGAACUUUUCUUUCCCGGUAAUGUGACGCAAAUAAAACGGUUGCAUGGCGCGCGGGUGGGUAUAUCUUAGAGCUGCAUUCGCGUUCCAAUGCCGGUCGAGGAAGCAUGAUCUCACUACAAUGGAAUCCAGGGCAAGAAGAACAACGACUGUACCGCUUGCUACAGAUUCAUGACAGCAGUUCCUACCGUCAUUCAUGGAUGUGAGCAAUACCAGAGCAGUCGAGAGGAAGAAACAUAGAAAAUUAUUUGAAUAUAAAUAAAAUUAAUAAGGCAACAUA